UACAGCGGUCUCAAGCGUUGUUCGGAUUCAUUGGGCGGAAAGGGCGCGUAGGCUGCGGGGCAAGUCGGGUGUGAAAUCUCAGAGCUCAACUCUGAAACUGCACUCGAUACUGCUUUGCUUGAGGACUGGAGAGGAGAUUGGAAUUCACGGUGUAGCAGUGAAAUGCGUAGAUAUCGUGAGGAAGGCCAGUGGCGAAGGCGGAUCUCUGGACAGUUCCUGACGCUGAGGCGCGAAGGCCAGGGGAGCAAACGGG
rnacentral:rRNA from 1 species